rnacentral:rRNA from 1 species
AUUGAACGCUGGCGGCAGGCCUAACACAUGCAAGUCGAACGGUAACAGGAAGCAGCUUGCUGCUUUGCUGACGAGUGGCGGACGGGUGAGUAAUGUCUGGGAAACUGCCCGAUGGAGGGGGAUAACUACUGGAAACGGUAGCUAAUACCGCAUAACGUCGCAAGACCAAAGAGGGGGACCUUAGGGCCUCUUGCCAUCGGAUGUGCCCAGAUGGGAUUAGCUAGUAGGUGGGGUAACGGCUCACCUAGGCGACGAUCCCUAGCUGGUCUGAGAGGAUGACCAGCCACACUGGAACUGAGACACGGUCCAGACUCCUACGGGAGGCAGCAGUGGGGAAUAUUGCACAAUGGGCGCAAGCCUGAUGCAGCAAUGCCGCGUGUAUGAAGAAGGCCUUCGGGUUGUAAAGUACUUUAAGCGGGGAGAAAGGGAGUAAAGUUAAUACCUUUGCUCAUUGACGUUACCCGCAGAAGAAGCACCGGCUAACUCCGUG